rnacentral:rRNA from 1 species
AGCUCCAAUAGCGUAUAUUAAAGUUGUUGCAGUUAAAAAGCUCGUAGUUGGAACGAUACGUCUGCAAAGCAGUCUCUUCAAGAGCGCUCGCAGACGCGGGCUUUUGUAAAGCCUCUGUUACUUUGAGAAAAUUUGAGUGUUUCAGGCGGGCCAGAGCUGAAAUAGUGUACCAUGGAAUAACGAAGUGGCUUUCUCUUCUUUCUUUGUUUUUAGAAGAGAUUGCACGUGGUUGAUAGGAACAGUCGGGGGCAUUCGUAUUGAACAGUCAGAGGUGAAAUUCUUAGAUUUGUUCAAGACGAACUAAUGCGAAAGCAUCUGCCAAGGAUGUUUUCA